rnacentral:rRNA from 1 species
GUCUAUGGCCAUACCACCCUGAACGUGCCUGAUCUUGUCUGAUCUCGGAAGCUAAGCAGUGUCUGGCCUGCUUAAUACUUGGUUGGGAGAAAUUAUUGUUU